UACAGAGGUCUCAAGCGUUGUUCGGAUUCAUUGGGCGUAAAGGGUGCGUAGGCGGCGCGGUAAGUCGGGUGUGAAAUUUCGAGGCUUAACUUCGAAACUGCAUUCGAUACUGCCGGGCUAGAGUCCGGAAGAGGCGAGUGGAACUCCUGGUGUAGCGGUGGAAUGCGCAGAUAUCAGGAAGAACACCAACGGCGAAGGCAGCUCGCUGGGACGGAACUGACACUGAGGCGCGUAAGCGUGGGGAGCGAACAGG
rnacentral:rRNA from 1 species